GAAUGAAUGAAUAAGUUUAUUUCGGUACAAAGAAAAAAGAUAAAAACAUUUCAAUACAAAAUAAAACAAAACAGAUCUGAUUUCUCAGUUAACCUAAGUAACUGAAACGUGUAGGUAGAAGCAAAAGCUUAUAUACACCGACCCCUUUUACCUCAGUAAAUUUGACUCCUUACAACAAAAGCAAAAUGAGCAGAACAAGCAAAGCACAAACAUUUGAAGAUAAUCAAUGAACUUAAAUUUAUCAUAACAUAAUAAUGAGACAAUAAGCA